CGGCGAGUGAAGCGGGAUGAGCUCAAAUUUAAAAUCUGGCCGGUUUACUGGUCCGAAUUGUAGUUUAAAGAAGCGUCUUCGGUGGCAGCCCGGGUAUAAAUCCUUUGGAAUAGGGUAUCAUAGAGGGUGAGAAUCCCGUCUUUGACCCAGUGCAUGCUACUAUGUGAUACGUUUUCAAAGAGUCGAGUUGUUUGGGAAUGCAGCUCAAAAUGGGUGGUAAAUCUCAUCUAAGGCUAAAUAUUGGCGAGAGACCGAUAGCGAACAAGUACCGUGAGGGAAAGAUGAAAAGAACUUUGAAAAGAGAGUUAAACAGUGCGUGAAAUUGUUGAAAGGGAAACGUUUGACACCAGUCAUGCGGGCGGAAAAUCAGUCUUUUGUAGUGAGGAAGCGCGUGGGUUCAGACCGCAAGGCUGGCCUAUGUGUUCUCCCUGCUGCAAGUGAUGCACUUUUUCGUCUGCAGGCCAACAUCAGUUUCUUCUGCUGGACAAAACUCCAAGAGAAGGUAGCAGCUUAGGCUGUGUUAUAGCUCUGGAGCGAUACAGUGGAGGAGACUGAGGUUUUCGCAGCGUGUGCUCUCGGGCAAGGCGGAUUGGGUGCUAUGAGAUCAUUCGGCGUACAAUGCAUGCAUUUUGCGCCGUGUCCUUUUUAUACUCGCUCAACUCUGCUCU
rnacentral:rRNA from 1 species